UACCAGCACCCCGAGUGGUCGGGACGAUUAUUGGGCCUAAAGCAUCCGUAGCCGGUCAUGCAAGUCUUCCGUUAAAUCCAGCCGCUCAACGGUUGGGCUGCGGAGGAUACUACGUGGCUAGGAGGCGGGAGAGGCAAGCGGUACUCAGUGGGUAGGGGUAAAAUCCUUUGAUCCAUUGAAGACCACCAGUGGCGAAGGCGGCUUGCCAGAAUGCGCUCGACGGUGAGGGAUGAAAGCUGGGGGAGCAAACCGG
rnacentral:rRNA from 1 species